rnacentral:rRNA from 1 species
AGUGAACGCUGGCGGUAGGCCUAACACAUGCAAGUCGAACGGCAGCACAGUAAGAGCUUGCUCUUACGGGUGGCGAGUGGCGGACGGGUGAGGAAUACAUCGGAAUCUACUUUUUCGUGGGGGAUAACGUAGGGAAACUUACGCUAAUACCGCAUACGACCUACGGGUGAAAGCAGGGGAUCUUCGGACCUUGCGCGAUUGAAUGAGCCGAUGUCGGAUUAGCUAGUUGGCGGGGUAAAGGCCCACCAAGGCGACGAUCCGUAGCUGGUCUGAGAGGAUGAUCAGCCACACUGGAACUGAGACACGGUCCAGACUCCUACGGAAGGCAGCAGUGGGGAAUAUUGGACAAUGGGCGCAAGCCUGAUCCAGCCAUACCGCGUGGGUGAAGAAGGCCGUCGGGUUGUAAAGCCCUUUUGUUGGGAAAGAAAAGCAGCAGGUUAAUACCCCGCUGUUCUGACGGUACCCAAAGAAUAAGCACCGGCUAACUUCGUG